rnacentral:lncRNA from 1 species
UUCAGUUGCCCAACUGAGGAUCUACAACAGCCAGCUGACACACUCUCGGACACUAGACAAGCCAUUUUGUCAUAUUCUUGGAAGUCUCUCCUCUGUAUGUACAGAACUUCCUGGAUUAACAUGAAGAUGUGAAGUUCCAACACGAUCUCAGGACCCUGUAUGAGACAGGUGCAAUGCUCAGCAAUAUAUGAAGAGAAAUUAAAUGGCAGAAAUGUUAUGGAAUCACAGCAGCAUAAAAUCUGAGAGGAGGAAGGCUCAAUUGAGCUCCCAAGACCUGGUCCCCUUAGGAUUCCUUUUCUCUUUCUAACCUGGAGAAUAAAAGUCCAACAGGAAGAACAGGAAACAACCACCUGGCCGGAUGUGACUGACCAUGAAGAAAUACACCACCUAUUUUGCAAUGAUUAUGAUCACGUGUAAUAAGAAAUUCAUGAAACAUAUAAAGAUAUUAAAAUAAGCUUAUUGGUCUCAACAUGUUGAGAAGUCAAUGUAUACAUAAAAAUUACCAGCAUAAAAAAUAUUCACAAUCUAUAUAAGUAAAUACAGAAAGUUAUUAAACUAUC